CUGUCACAACAGAGCAAAAUAAUGAUGCUAAUAAGUUUAUGAGUACCAAAGAAAAUAUAAUAACUAUAACACCAAUACCUAACGGAAAUGAAGGAAUAACAACAGAAGAAAUAACCCAUCACUUGGCUUUGAGGAGUAAAAGACGUGUUAAUGUAAUUGAGGAGGAAAGAGUUGCAACAACAUCGACUGGAUACAGAUUUAGCGAGCGAGGAAGACCUAUUACUAUUGACUUUACGUUUAAAAAUAUUCAUACGUAAUUUCAUAAUAAAGGCUAUUGCGCUUUAA